AUUGAACGCUGGCGGCAGGCCUAACACAUGCAAGUCGAGCGGAGCGGCGGAAGGGUGAGUAAUGCCUAGGUAUCUGCCUGGUCGUGGGGGAUAAGGUCAGGAAACGGGCGCUAAUACCGCAUAAUAUCAGCUUAGCCUAGGUCGGAUUGGCUAGUUGGUGGGGUAAAGGCCUACCAAGGCGACGAUCCGUAACUGGUCUGAGAGGCUGAUCAGUCACACUGGAACGGAGACACGGUCCAGACUCCUACGGGAGGCAGCAGUGGGGAAUAUUGGACAAUGGGCGAAAGCCGGAUCCAGCCAUGCCGCGUGUGUGAAGAAGGUCUUCGGAUUGUAAAGCACUUUAAGUUGGGAGGCGUUACCAACAGAAUAAGCACCGGCUAACUUCGUGCCAGCAGCCGCGGUAAUUC
rnacentral:rRNA from 1 species